rnacentral:rRNA from 1 species
CAGGGCCUAAACGAUCUUGAUUAGCUUUUGGGAGUAUCGACCCUCUCAGAGGCGUAGCUAACGCGUUAAAUCAAGCGCCUGGGAAGUACGAGCGCAAGCUUAAAACUCAAAGGAAUAGACGGGGACUUGCACAAGCGGUGGAUCAUGUGGUUUAAUUCGACGCUAAACGAAGAACCUCACCAAGGCUAGACAUCCUAUUCAGGCGGCACACGGGAAACCGAUAGUCGAUAUUGUGGUAGGACAGGUGU